AAGGGUCUUGUCAUAUACAUACUUGCAAUGUAUACUGGUGUAGUUGUUGGCCUUUUGGUUAAUGCGUUUACAAGUGCAAGAAUGGACCCAUUCACGGGACUGCUGCCGGGAAUACCCGGCCCACGGAGGGCACAUUUCCUCACUGGUGGUGCACCACGACUGGCUGCGGGUCGGCUAGGAAGGCCCCAGGGGGCUGAUGGCUCUCCGCUCCAGCCGAGAGUGUUACAGCCCCCAGGCAGCAGUGUUGCCAUAUCCACAGGACUGAGCGAGAUUGGCUGCUGCUGUGCCCUCCUCUGGAAACCAUCCUGGCCCCUCUCAAUGGUCGCUGGGGGAUACGGCCACCUGCUCCUGGUGUGACGUUUGACUGGAGUGGACUGUCCUCAUUGCACCCAAACACGUCAUGCUGCCGGCUGGCCCACGAAGGGUGCCAGAGGUCUGCAGUGAUGUCAGUUACCCCACCCAACAAGUCUUGAAACAGACCAAGGAGUCGAACACGUGCGCAAAUCAGAGGGCCGAUCAAAACCUUGUGGCGCAAUGAAGGUGAGGGCCGGCGCACACUGGUUGAGGUGGGAUCCCGCUGCGGUGAGCGCAACACCGGCCCGUCUCGCCCACUCUAUCUGAAGUGGAGCAUGAGCGCAUGUUAUAGGACCUGAAAGAUGAUGAACUAUGCCCUAUGCCUGACGUGCAAAAAUCAGCCGUCCAACCUGGGUAUAGGUGCAAAAGAUAAUUGAAUCAUCUAGUAGCUGGUUCCCUCCGGAGGAUAGCUGGUGCUCAGAAACCCCAGUUUUAUCUUGUAAAGCAAAUGAAUAGAGGACUUGGGGCCAAAACGAUCUGAACCUAUUCUCAAAUGUUAAAUGGGUAAGAGGCCCAGCUGGCUGGCGUGGAGCUGGGCAUCUAAUGAGAGUGCCCUGUGUGACACUUUUGGUAAGCAGAACUGGCGUGGUGGGAUGAAUGGAAUGCCAGGUUAAAGCACCAGCCGCGGAGACCUCAGAAAAGGUGUUGGUUAAUAUAGACAGCAGGACAGUGGCCAUGAAAGCCGGAAUCCGCCAAGGAGUGUGUAACAACUCACAUGCUGAAUGAACUAGCCCUGAAAAUGGAUAGUGCUAGAGCGGCGCCGAGAGCCGUGGAGGCUAAGCUGCGACGAGUAGGAGGGCUGCCGUGGUAUGCAUGGAAGCCCGGGGCGAGGGUCUAGGUGGAGCCGCCACAAGUGCAAAUCUUGGUGGUAGUAGCAAAUAAUCAAACGAGAACUUUGAAGGCUGACGUGGAGAAGGGUUCAAUGUGAACAGCAGUUGAACAUGGGUCCGGUCCGUCCUGAGAGAUUGGUGAGCACUGUUCAAAAAGGGACGGGUGAUGGCCUCCAUUGUCCUCAGCCGAUCGAAAUCGGAUCCCUGAACCUGCGAGUAGAGGAGACUGGAGCCCUUGCGGCAUCCAGUGCAGUAACGAAAACGAUCCAAGAGAAGCCAGCGGGAGGCCCAGGGAGAGUUCUCUUUUCUUUAUGAAGGGCAGGGCACUGUGGAAUGGGUUUGCUUCGAGAGAGGGGUUUCUGAAGCCUCCACUGAGCUAUUGCUGGUCCUAGAAAAUACGGGGGAGAUCAUAAAUCUCAGGCCGUACACAUAUCUGAAGGCAGGUCUCCAAGGUGAACAACGUCUGGCAUAUUCUAACAAUGUAGUUAAGGGAAAUCGGCAGGUCAAUCCGUAACUUUGAGAUAAAGAUUGGCUCUAUGGACUGGGGUGUAAAGCAGGGCUGGGUUGCAGCUUGAAGAGCCGACUCCCCGCCCAGGGGACACCAACUCUGGACAUGAGCCAGGCACUGCCUGUGCAUCGCUGCAGCUGCUGCAGUGGUGGUGGCCUCUCUCUGUUCCUCUCCUGGCGGUCAGGGAUGGCGUUCUGUCUCGGCUGACGCCUGGCAGCUAACAUAGAACUGGUGCGGAACAGCGGAAUCCGACUGUUUCAAACAAAGCAUCGCAAAGGUCCUCAGAGGGUGUUGACGGAAUGUUAUUUCUGCCCAGUGCUCAGAAUGUCAAAGUGAAGAAAUUCAAUGAAUCGCAGGUAAACUGUGCAAGUAACUAUGACUCUUAAGGUAGCAGAAUGCCUCAUCAUCUAAUUAGUGACGCACAUGAAUGGAUGACAAGAUUCCAGUGUCCCUACCUACUAUUUAGCAAACACAGCCAAGGGAACUGGGUUUGGCAGAAUCAUCAGGGAAAAAAGACUCAGUUGAGCUUGCUCUAGUCUGCCACUUUGGAGAUAAAUGGGAGGCCCUCAGGCUACCCGUGAAAUAACACUACUUCUUGCUUUUUCACUUAUCCAGUGAGACAGGGGGCGAGCAUCGUGGGGCUCUUGCUUCUGGCUCCAAGCGCCCGGCACUGGCCGAAGGUGAGCUCAGGGAGGACAGAAACCUCCCACAAAGAAGAAAGGCAAAAGCUCGCUUUAUCUCGAUUUUCAGUUUGAAUACAGACCGUGAAAGUGGGGCCUCACGAUCCUUCUGACUUUUUGGGGUGCAAGCAGAAGGUAUCAGAAAAGUUGAACUACACAAUGAAAGGAAGGUAUAUCACUGUAUGUCCGAUAAAUACGAUUCAAAGUAAGGAGAUCUAGAGAGUCCUAAACAAAUAACAGACCCCCAUCACACCACCUAGACAUUGUCCUAUUUAAUCCAAAACAUAGUUACAAUUUGUAGACCUAGAUGAUCCUACAAAAUAUAUUAAAAUACAAUAAUAAAACUUGCAACACAAUGUCACUUCUGUGAGUUGCCGCACACAGUUUAUGCUACUCAAUUACUUGGUAGCCCAACAUUAGUAGUACGCUCAAAAUGGUAUCAGAAAAGGUACCACAGGGAUAACUGGCUUGUGACAGCCAAGCAUUCAUAGGGACAUCACUUUUUGAUCCUUCGAUGUCAGCUCUUCCCAUCAUUGUGAAGCAGAAUUUACCAAGCGUUGGUUUGUUCGCCCACUACUAGGGAAUGUGAGCUGGGUUUAGACCGUCGUGAGACAGGCUAGUUUUACCCUACUGAUGAUGUGUUGUUGCAAUAGUAAUCCUGCUCAGCACAAGAGGAACCCCAGGUUCAGACAUUUGGUCUAUGUGCUUGGCUGAGGAGCCAAUGGGGCAAAGCUACCAUCUGUGGGAUUAUGACUGAACGCCUCCAAGUCAUAAUCCCCCCCCUAAACCAUAACAAUGCUGCAGCACUAUGAAGCCUCAGUUGG
rnacentral:rRNA from 1 species